rnacentral:rRNA from 1 species
GAUGAACGCUGGCGGCGUGCCUAAUACAUGCAAGUCGAGCGAACAGACGAGGAGCUUGCUCCUCUGACGUUAGCGGCGGACGGGUGAGUAACACGUGGAUAACCUACCUAUAAGACUGGGAUAACUUCGGGAAACCGGAGCUAAUACCGGAUAAUAUAUUGAACCGCAUGGUUCAAUAGUGAAAGACGGUUUUGCUGUCACUUAUAGAUGGAUCCGCGCCGCAUUAGCUAGUUGGUAAGGUAACGGCUUACCAAGGCAACGAUGCGUAGCCGACCUGAGAGGGGGAGCGGCAAGAAUGGAAAGGCGACACGCGCCAGACGAAGAGGGGAGGGAGAAGCAGGGAAGCUGUGGCAAGGGGCGAAAGAUUGACGGAGUAAAGCAGAGGGAGAGAUGAAGGUAGUAGGAUCGUAAAAACGUGUUAGUAGGGAAGAAACAAAGUGUAAGGAACUAUGCCGGUCUGGAGGGGACAUAAUCAGAAAGCAAAGGAGAACUACGUG